rnacentral:rRNA from 1 species
CUCCUACUGGAGGCAGCAGUGGGGAAUAUUGCACAAUGGGGGAAACCCUGAUGCAGCGACGCCGCGUGGAGGAAGAAGGUCUUCGGAUUGUAAACUCCUGUUGUUGGGGAAGAUAAUGACGGUACCCAACAAGGAAGUGACGGCUAACUACGUGCCAGCAGCCGCGGUAAAACGUAGGUCACAAGCGUUGUCCGGAAUUACUGGGUGUAAAGGGAGCGCAGGCGGGAAGACAAGUUGGAAGUGAAAUCUAUGGGCUCAACCCAUAAACUGCUUUCAAAACUGUUUUUCUUGAGUAGUGCAGAGGUAGGCGGAAUUCCCGGUGUAGCGGUGGAAUGCGUAGAUAUCGGGAGGAACACCAGUGGCGAAGGCGGCCUACUGGGCACCAACUGACGCUGAGGCUCGAAAGUGUGGGUAGCAAACAGGAUUAGAUACCCUGGUAGUCCACACCGUAAACGAUGAUUACUAGGUGUUGGAGGAUUGACCCCUUCAGUGCCGCAGUUAACACAAUAAGUAAUCCACCUGGGGAGUACGACCGCAAGGUUGAAACUCAAAGGAAUUGACGGGGGCCCGCACAAGCAGUGGAGUAUGUGGUUUAAUUCGACGCAACGCGAAGAACCUUACCAAGUCUUGACAUCCCUUGACAGGCAUAGAAAUAUGUUUUCUCUUCGGAGCAAGGAGACAGGUGGUGCAUGGUUGUCGUCAGCUCGUGUCGUGAGAUGUUGGGUUAAGUCCCGCAACGAGCGCAACCCUUAUGGUCAGUUACUACGCAAGAGGACUCUGGCCAGACUGCCGUUGACAAAACGGAGGAAGGUGGGGAUGACGUCAAAUCAUCAUGCCCUUUAUGACUUGGGCUACACACGUACUACAAUGGCGUUAAACAAAGAGAAGCAAGACCGCGAGGUGGAGCAAAACUCAGAAACAACGUCCCAGUUCGGACUGCAGGCUGCAACUCGCCUGCACGAAGUCGGAAUUGCUAGUAAUCGUGGAUCAGCAUGCCACGGUGAAUACGUUCCCGGGCCUUGUACACACCGC